rnacentral:tRNA from 1 species
GGUUUCGUAGUGUAGUGGUUAUCACGUGUGCUUCACACGCACAAGGUCCCCGGUUCGAGCCCGGGCGGAACCA